UUUGGCUUUGGCAGAUGUAAAGCAAACUAAGGCCUUGAUAGUUCUUGCUGUCAAGAAAAAACUGAAUUCAAUAAUAAUUUGUUUGUUAUUCUGCACAUCCUUGUGCUAAAAGUGUCUGGAAACACAAGAGUAUGUACACCUGGAAACUCAGCACUCAUCGACGUGCCAGGUUGUUGAAAGCUUAUUUUUGUGGUUUUAUGAGUAAAACUUGAGGAUAUUGUUUCCUUGGUAACAGGCAUGAAGGACAAAGAGUAUGGGGUGGUGGAAUUGUUAAAUACAGACCAGGGUCAACUCAAUGGUUUCCUUGGAUGAUGGAUGUUGUGGAUGAUGGCUCCAAAUCUUCUUCUGUCUCGGCUGACAUUGCAGUUCCAAGAUUUCAGACAGCACAGGCUUAUGGAGAAAAUUUAACUUGCAUUGGAAUCCAAGUAAUAAAUUUUGACUUGCUCAAAUACGUUUUGUUGGGGGUGGUUGGGGAGGCACUGAAGUUUUCUUCAACAAACUGGAAGAAUGAAUAGGAGAAGGAUUGAAAAUGA